rnacentral:sRNA from 1 species
GGUGCAUCGAUACAUAAAUCCAGCUGAAAAAGAAGGUGUUGUUCUGAAAAAAAGAAUGAAUACAAUUCUGAAAAAGCGAGGAUUCGAUGCAGAUUAUGAUCAAUUGAAAAAGAAUAAUAAACCUGGAGAUGUACUACUUUCAUCAUCAACUGGAGCAAUUCUUAUUGAUUUAACACCAUGUCCAACGAAUAUAAAUAAGCGAAGUGGAUCUAAAAAACCAUAUUUAUUAAAUCCUAUGGUAAAAAAUUAAAAUUUGUAGUUUCUCAGAAACCUGAUUCAUUUUCAAUUUCCAGGGAAAAACCACUGUCGCUGUAUUGAACGAAUUUGUGCAGCGACUUGCAAAAGGGACACUUUUGUAUGAAAUUGAAGAUACUCGUAAUAUUCAUUGCCCGUACAAAGCAACUGCUCUUCUUACAAUGAAAAUGUGCACACUCCGUGAAAUGGCUGGUCAAUGUAAAGAAAGUCUUGUGGUUCUUAGUGAGAUUGCAGCGAAUGAUGAGAACAGUACGACGUAUUCACAAGGUCUUCUGCCUGAUUUGA